AUCUUCAGAUUUUAACGAUCACUGUCAUCUUCAGUAAUUACUUCGUAUUUGGAAAUCCCAGCCUACAUUUGAUACGCCCAAAUAUGUUCGCCUGAUUUGCAAACGGAAUUCUUCUUUCAACCAGGAAUGCUGGAUUUCCGGCUUCCUGGAAACUGACCAGGUAGCAGCGGCUUAAAAAUGGAGGCCUUUUGGAGCGGAGGGAAUCCGAAUUUUGGCAGCCGCACCGCCACCAACAACCUGACACACACACACAGGCACAAACACCGAUGCAGACGUAAAGUACAAAUGUGCCAGAUGAUAACAUUUCGGGUCACCCCCGUUCACAUAUCCCACAGCGAUUCCAACUAGCCUCCAAAGUCUUAUCUGCAUCCUCGCGCUAAUACGUAUGUGCGUACACUGGUAGAACGACGAGAACAUUUGGAUUAUUAGGAAGAUAGAAAGUUUUUGUUUAUUGUCAAGCAAAUGGUAAUUGCACCGGAUUUUAAUCACAUACUUUCGCUCACUGCACUCAGCCUUUUGGCUCCUUCGGCAAAUUUGGCCAACUGCUCGGUGUUUUGGUUUCGGUGCGUGCGAGUGUGGAUGAGGAUGGGGAUGGGGGUGUGCGUGUGCCGGAUUGCAUUCCUUGAAUGCUCAUUUGCCUCGCUUUUGCUGCGCUUUUACUGCCAGAGCCCCACAGCCACACACACACCUCCACACGAACACACUUGCAUACCCACGCACACACACACACACACACGCACUCACACGUGUGAGAGGAGGGGUGAGAUUUUUCUGUUGCUGUUGAUGCGAUUUUAUGUAUUUCCAUGAUGCGCUUAUUCGACUACGGCAUUAUCCUGGCGAAGCCACGCAGCGCUUUCCAUGCAUACAAAUUGCUAAAUUAUUUAAGCAGCGACAACGGCCCAGUUGCAGGAGGAAAACUGGAGGAAAACCGGAGGAAAACCAGGAGAAAGCAGGAGAAGCUGGGUCAAAUCCAGGCGUAUGGGGAACGAGCGGUUGCUAUUAGUCCAAGUUGUCCUGUCCGCCAUUCGCUGCCGUUGGCCUACCCCACCAUAUCCUCCCAUAUCCUUUUUAAGGAGCGUCGAAAAGAAAGCCAAAUGAUUUCAUUUAACCAGCGAAAUGACACCGCCACCAAUACACACUCACACACACACACACGCGCGUUGAGAACAACAAGGACACAACAAGGAAGGACGAGGAGGGACGAGAAAUGGCGGCGAAAGCGAGUGUAAUUGCAGCAAAUGAAUAAAUGAGGCGAGGCAGGCGAAAGCCACCGCUGGUUGCUCCUUGCGGAGGAGUCCUCCAUGGAAAACCCCCUGAUAUCCUGCCAUCUGCCACUGUGCUUGUGUGUGUGAGUUGGCUUGAAUGCAACGCAUGUUUUGCCGCUUAUUGCCCCAGCAGCAACAACAACAACAAUGGCAAACAAGAGCCAAAAAAAUCGGAAUGAAAAUGAUGGAAAGAAAGCAGUAAUCACAAGUAGUCAACUUUCAGUUUCAAAAAUCACGGCAUCGCUUUAAGGAGCGCCAUAAUAUGUUUUCCUUCAUUUGGAAACGGAAAAUACCCGCAAUUUGCAGGAGCUCCAAGAUGGAGGAGUCGCCGUGCCGCAAAAUGCGCCGCCGGCGGGGAAUCGUUUUUGUUUCUGAAGUUUGCCCAACUGGAGCAUCGCGACGAGCAAUGCCGGAGAUCCGGAGGCGCUGGAGGAGCUAUGGGCUACGGGAUAGCCACCCCCAGAUGCUCGGACUUGGAGCGGCGAUGCAGCGAGGAGCGAAGGCGGCCCGGCAACCUGGCCAACAACUUGGGGCGACUUUUUGCACUCAUUUCGCACGUUCAAACAAUGGAAGUGUGUAGGUGCGCGACAAGGGGGGAAAAGUAAUUGGUGGACCAGGACGCAGGACAUGGCCCCGGGAUGAGGAAGUAGCUGGCGAAAGGAACCAACUCUGGCUGGCACACGCGUCUAAACAGCGGUGCAAAAUUGGGAGCCAGGCGACGAGAUUUCAAACCAGUUUAAACCCCCAAAAACAGCCCAUAAAUAUUAUAUUUACUUAAGCGAGUUUUUUCCAUUUUUCCAUUUCCCCAUUGAACACCUUUUGAUACAUUUAUUUUGCAUUUAGCAUCUAUGCAGCAUAAUCGCAUCUCUGGAAAAACUCACUCACAUUCAAGAAGUCCUGCGCUGCGUUCGCUUUCAUCUUUGUCGGCUGGCUGUUUGUGGAGAUACUUGGAUAGCUGCUGGGUUUUCGACUGGGAAAACUGCGGGAAAACUGAAGGGAAGCACACAUGCAAACACUCACACACGGAUGAACAAUCGCUUUUCCUGCUGCCUGGAAAAACUGAGCCAACAAAAAUUGUUUUUAAUUGGCGCCCAAUUCGAAGCAAGCCCGAAAAUUAAACAAACAAUUUGAUGAGGCAAAGCCAAAAAUCGUAGAUGUGCAAUUGUUUCACAAUUUGAUCAUGAAAAUCCAUUUUCAUGGGGAAACAUCAACUUCAAAAUGCCAGCGAAAGUUUGGAAUUUCGAAAAAUCAUUUUUUCAAGGAUACUGUCAAGGAUCAAGGAUCAUGUGGGUAAAUGGCUUUCCAGGUAACUUUCACUGGCGUUUCCAGGAGCCUUUCCUACCUUUUACCAAAAAGCAAUUGCACUGGCACGCUGACUCAUGGACGGCAAUUUCAAAAGGAAUUUGAAAUCGAGCUGGGAACAACAAAUGCAACAAAAACAACAGAAACAGCAAGAAGUGCAACAACAAGAAAAGCGGCAGCAAUUGCAAUCAUUUACAUAAAAAACAAUGCAAAUAGAGUAAAAUUAAGCAAAUAUAAAUAAAAUGCAUUGCUCAAAAAACAUCAACUGGAAAAUGAAAUGGAAACGUGUGGGCAGCAACCAGGCAUAUACUACCACACAAAUGUAUGUAUGUAUUACUAUGUAUGUGUAUGUGUGCAAGAGCAUGUGUGUGUGUGGACAGCAUAAUGCACAUGUGGAAAAUGAAAUCAAAUGCAAUAAAAUGCUCUGACAUGUUGGGAUGCGUAACUGAAACUAGCCGGGAAGAUAAUAAAACAAAAUGAACCCAGAAUGGGAAUCAUAUAAAAUGAAACCGAACCAAAUUGCAUUUGCAAUCCCAUCCGGAUCAUACAUAUGUAUGUAUAUAUAUAAUCUAUAUAGCCGACUGAAUUUGCCAUGGAAAUAGAUGUGCACGGGAAUAAGCGAGCUGACCAACAGCUUUCUGGCCAUAAGAGUUGGCCUAAUGACUUCAUUCCCGGCCCAAAGUGUUAACUAAAGCAAGUCAGCUGCUUACGAGUGAUUAUCCAAUGCGAAUUGGAUAAAAAAUUCAAAGAAAUCAUGAGAAUACGAUUUCAACGAUGACAAAAUUAAAGAAAUCAAAGAAUUAAUGAUAAAUUUUAAUAGAAUGAUUUCACUCGCAUUGAAUAAACAUAAUGCAGGCGGAGCUUGAAAUGCAUUGCACAUGCAGUUGUUCACUUCAAUUCACAUUCACAUUCUUCGCGGAAAUUUAAAUGAAAAUUGGCCGGAAUAUGUAUUAACAUACAUACAUAUGUAUGUAUAUGUACAUAUGUAUAGUGUAUCCUUCGCUUGCCUCGCUUCUGCGACGUUCUGCCAUCAAUAUCGCAGCAUAAAUAUUUACAUGCUGCCGAGAACGCGAACAAACAAACAAACUUUAUUUUUGGGCAGCAGGAAACAAGUGCAAUCCCUUGCCCUUCCCCUCUUCCUUCCCCCUUUCUUCAACCCUUUCUCCGCCGCUUUCGCCGUCCACCUUUUGCGCUUUCUUCGCUGCCGCUUGACAAUGUAAGCUCAAACAAUUUCAUUUCCAAGCUGGCACACUCACUCACAGAUGCUCGCACACACACACACACACACACACACACACACGCGAGCACGUGCGCGCACACAGAUACAAAUGCAAACAAGUACGCACAAACACACACACACAUACACACGCAUAACGGUACAUUAAUUGAUAAUUGUUUUGUGCUCAAAAGAAAUUAAAGAGCAGAAGCUGCCCUCUCGCUUCUCCACUCCCUCGUUUCCCUGCUUUUCUCCCCUCUCCCCAACCUGCACCCCUUUCUCUCUUUCUCCACCCUUUUUCCCCACUUUCCCCUCACGCCUCAUUACACUGCAGAUGUAUUGCGAACACAGGAGACAGACGGAAGUAAAUAAAACGCGAGUCGACAGCCAAGUGAAAAGUCUCUGCAGUGGAAAAAGCAUCAAGAAUAUUUACCAAAAAACCGAAAAUAUCUGCAAAUAUGCGCUUUGUAUUUCAUUAGUGAGUUGUUGUAAUUGCUGGAAAUAUGAUUUCAAGUUUAUAAAUAUAUGUUUUGGCUUCUUCUGGUUUCUCUCAGUGCAUUGUGUUUCGCGUUUCCUAAUACAAUCUGCACAAACUCUACGUUUUCCUUUUGUUUUUGCGCUGUGCUCCUCGCUCUUUUUUCAUUAACUUUUUGCGUUUGCUGCUUGUUUCGGACAUGUUCUAUGUGCCACGCCCCUUCGCCGCCCCGCGGCCAACUUAAUUGAACGAUUAGUUUUUGUACGUGGACCACGCCCACAGCGGCGUGGCAGCAGGUGCCGCCCACAAAUCGCCCCCUCAGCUCAGUUCCCUCGAUUUUGAAACAUCCGGAUUUUCGCUGUCCAUCGUGGGUCACUAUUUAAUUUUAUCUGCUACGUUUUGGCUUUUAUUCUCGUUUUUAUCGCAACAGCAAGCAAACUAUGUACUACCAUUUGCCACGCCUCCCGUCCCGCCGCCCCUCGAGAGGGGGUGAAAUGGGCGAAAAGGGGGGAAGAGGAAAGGGGGGUUGUCAAAGUGAGGAAAGGAAUGAAAAAGUCAAAUGCCAAGUCACUAAAAAGUCAAAAGGCCCCAAAGAAGCAGCGACAACAGCAAGUUAUAGUAAUGACAAUCUACUGGCCGAGCAAGAGGAAGCGGGAUAGGAUGCGGGGUAGGAGCGAUAGAGAGCGAGAGGGAGUGAGAGGGAGGUGCGAAAGAGAGCGGUAGAUGGGCACAAAAGUUAAAAUAAAUAAAACAAAGCGAACGCAUGAAAUGACACAACAGAGACAAAGGAAGCUGCCGAAAAGGGGCUGCUAGGGGGACGGUAAGGGGUGACAAGGGGGAGGGGUAGAAGGGGUGUUAAAGUACCGCCCCCAAACAACAAAAACAACACCGCCCACCCACCAAGCAGCAGCAGCUGGGCGACAAAACGUGGCCGAACGACACGAGAACCCGCCUAAAAAUGACAGCAAACGUGGCAAGAUGUGGCGCUCCAGCAUAUACACUGCGAAAAUACAGCCAUGGAAAUUAUUCAAGAAUUUAAAUAACUCAAAAAUGCCUCGAAAAUUUACAUUUACAAUUACAAAAUACCAUUCCAGUAAACCAAAAAAAAACAUCUACCUUGUUUUAUUACAAAUAUAAAUAUUAUAUAUAUAUAUUUUUUUUUUAUUAAAAAAUUUGGAUACAUGUAGAAUUAAUUUAUUGUACUGCUACAUUCAGGCAGCCUAAACAAUUAUAUGUUUAAGGAAUAGGACAUAGUAAUUUAUAAGAUAUAAGAUUAACAAUUUUUAAUGAUAUUCAAUGUUUUAUAUUUAUUUAAUGUCUAAAUUUAAAAUGACAGUUAUACGCGCCGAGUGAGGGGGGAAAUUAAAAAGUUCUCUGAUAGGAAGCUGAUUAAAGUCGAUUGAGUAUUAAUAUUAUAGACAUCAGUGCCAAUGACGAGAAACAAAAA